rfam:Merops nubicus contig86158, whole genome shotgun sequence.
AUUACCAUCUUACUGGGCAGCAUUGGAUGUUUUCUGUCUUUCUAAUACUGCCUGGUAAUGAUGAUUAU